GUUCAUCGACAGUCACCUAGGGAAAGGGUCGACUACUAAAGAGACUCAGGAUGCGACUUUUUUGCAUCUAAGCUUGCACAUAGGCAUAUACUAACCAAAGGUGACAACAGGGUGCUUCCCAAUCUCCCAUAGUCUUAUUCCUGAAACACGCAACAAAAAGUUCAGGAUAAUGAAAAGAUUAUCAACCUCAGACCGAACAUCCAAAUUGCGAAGGCUUACCCUUUGUCCUGAUAUACAGGGGUUUGAAUCCCUCAGAAAAUUUUGCCACAGAUGGGCAUGUCAUCGAAGCUCCAAAGGUCCAUGUUGCCAACGACAUCCUGAGGCACAUCAAAAUUCAGAAGGCUAUCAAUCGGCUCAUCCACGCCAUCAUCCAAAAGAAACCUCAUCCAAGGUUCAAAAUCAACAGCAUUGUUCUCCAUAACAGGAGGCACCACUGAGUUGUAGGUGUUGCUCUGGACAGGCGCAGAUUCAGCUCCUUCAGCAAUCACCGCUGGGUUGUAGGUUUUACUCUGGAGAACUGCAGACUCUGUUCCUUCAGCAAUGGUGGAAAUGGGAGCAAUGGAUGAUAUAUCUGGAGUCUUGGUGUCAUACUCCCAGCCCAAGUCAGAGCAGCCAAAGGAGUUGCUUCCCUGGUCAGAGUACAUAUUCAUAACAGGAGCUUCAACAGAGGCAGCAGAGUUAAUUGCAGGAACAAAUGGCAUGUUGUCAGGCUGAACAAGCGG
rnacentral:lncRNA from 1 species